CGUGGGCUGGAGCAGCAGCCGCGUUGGUAGGAAGAAAGGAGGGCAGGCGGGCGGGGCAGGGGCUGCUCACGCCCCUCACACAGGGAGAGCCCCCAGGCCGCGGACAGAGUGUGCCGCCCGCAGGGAAUGCACGUGGUAAUUAGCAGCCCGGUUCUCUAGAGCAGACAGGGAUCCUUUGCCGGCAUUCCUGCCCGGAGGAGAGCACGGGACACGGGUGUCACACGGUGUUACGGAUCACAGGUGCUGCUCCAGUGGUCACAGCCCAACAGAAAAGUUCCUUUGCUGUGGAUGGCUUGACCUUGCUCUGCAGAGGAAUGCCAUGGAGUCAGCUUCCUGAUUUUUCACACCUGAGCAGGAGAGGAUGGACAGUCCUGGAUCAGCCCCUCGGUGCCGACAGCGCUUCCUGUGGAGAUCAGAGCAAUGAACAACUGGGCACUGCUGGAGCAGCAGGGAAACCUCCCCUGGGGGAUGUGGAGAGUGGCUCAUUGUCAGCUGCCACCACUUCCCAGAUUCCCAAACUGCUCUGAGUUAUUUGGGAUGCAACUACAGAAGCCCUGAGAGUCUGAGAGAUCUCCAAGUCUUGGGCCCCUGAAGACUUGAAAAAAGACCUGAAGUUUCUGACUGGCAUUGAACCAGACAGAUGGGAGAUGAUGCUGUGGAAGAGGAGGCCUUGCUCCACUUGACCUGCAAGAGGUAGGAAAAGCUCAUGUAUAAGAAACUUCCUCAGAAAACAGCCUGAAAGGGGUUUACUUGGAAUAACUGGGAUCCACAAGUCAACUUUAAACCUCAGGGGAUGUACAGAAUAUGAAAAAACAAGGCAUCACAGUGUCUUUCAUUUCUAAGGGUAUAAUAAAAGCUUUGUGGCCUUUGUGCUCAACAG